rnacentral:lncRNA from 1 species
GUCUUAUUUUGUAAAUAACGGAUAGUAUUCGGAUGCACGAUAAAUUAGUGACAGGCGUGUAGUGUUAUCCUUUUUCUCGAACCAAUUAAUUGUGAACUUGGAUUAAAUAAUGCAUCGUUGAAAAUGAUAACAGUGUUAUUUUAACUCACUUAUCAUACCUUCAUAUUAAAUAAGGCUUUCAUUGUGAACAGAUAUCAACACAUAGGAGUAAGUAAUAAAUACAACGGAUAACAGAUGAUUAAGGGGACCAUUUUUUUUUUUAUCAAGAAUUAAAGUUUACUUAUUGUUUCUAUAAUGCAUAA